GUGAGGAAUAUUGGUCAAUGGGCGCGAGCCUGAACCAGCCAAGUCGCGUGAGGGAGGACGGCCCUACGGGUUGUAAACCUCUUUUGCCGGGGAGCAACGGGCGUCACGUGUGGCGCCACUGAGAGUACCCGGAGAAAAAGCAUCGGCUAACUCCGUGCCAGCAGCCGCGGUAAUACGGAGGAUGCGAGCGUUAUCCGGAUUUAUUGGGUUUAAAGGGUGCGCAGGCGGCACGGCAAGCCGGCGGUCAAAUCGCGGGGCUCAACCCCGCCCAGCCGUCGGAACUGCCGGGCUAGAGUGGGCGAGAAGUGCGCGGAAUGCGUGGUGUAGCGGUGAAAUGCAUAGAUAUCACGCAGAACUCCGAUUGCGAAGGCAGCGCACCGGCGCCCUACUGACGCUCAGGCACGAAAGCGUGGGUAUCGAACAGG
rnacentral:rRNA from 1 species